CGUAUCACCCAAGACAACUUUACGGAGUUAACGAUUGACGGAGCGAAGCGACGUCAAAGCGUUCAUUAAAGUCGAGUUGGCUUAGGGAUACGUUCGUUGGGUAGGGGAGCGUUCUGUAAGCCUGUGAAGGUGGCCUGUGAGGGUUGCUGGAGGUAUCAGAAGUGCGAAUGCUGACAUAAGUAACGAUAAAGCGGGUGAAAAGCCCGCUCGCCGGAAGACCAAGGGUUCCUGUCCAACGUUAAUCGGGGCAGGGUGAGUCGACCCCUAAGGCGAGGCCGAAAGGCGUAGUCGAUGGGAAACGGGUUAAUAUUCCCGUACUUGGUGUUACUGCGAAGGGGGGACGGAGAAGGCUAUGUUGGCCGGGCGACGGUUGUCCCGGUUUAAGCGUGUAGGUGUGUGUUCCAGGUAAAUCCGGUUCACUUUAACACUGAGGCGUGAUGACGAGGCACUACGGUGCUGAAGCAACAAAUGCCCUGCUUCCAGGAAAAGCCUCUAAGCAUCAGGUAACAUCAAAUCGUACCCCAAACCGACACAGGUGGUCAGGUAGAGAAUACCAAGGCGCUUGAGAGAACUCGGGUGAAGGAACUAGGCAAAAUGGUGCCGUAACUUCGGGAGAAGGCACGCUGACAUGUAGGUGAAGUGAUUUACUCAUGGAGCUGAAGUCAGUCGAAGAUACCAGCUGGCUGCAACUGUUUAUUAAAAACACAGCACUGUGCAAACACGAAAGUGGACGUAUACGGUGUGACGCCUGCCCGGUGCCGGAAGGUUAAUUGAUGGGGUCAGCGCAAGCGAAGCUCCUGAUCGAAGCCCCGGUAAACGGCGGCCGUAACUAUAACGGUCCUAAGGUAGCGAAAUUCCUUGUCGGGUAAGUUCCGACCUGCACGAAUGGCGUAAUGAUGGCCAGGCUGUCUCCACCCGAGACUCAGUGAAAUUGAACUCGCUGUGAAGAUGCAGUGUACCCGCGGCAAGACGGAAAGACCCCGUGAACCUUUACUAUAGCUUGACACUGAACAUUGAGCCUUGAUGUGUAGGAUAGGUGGGAGGCUUUGAAGUGUGGACGCCAGUCUGCAUGGAGCCGACCUUGAAAUACCACCCUUUAAUGUUUGAUGUUCUAACGUGGACCCGUAAUCCGGGUUGCGGACAGUGUCUGGUGGGUAGUUUGACUGGGGCGGUCUCCUCCUAAAGAGUAACGGAGGAGCACGAAGGUUGGCUAAUCCUGGUCGGACAUCAGGAGGUUAGUGCAAUGGCAUAAGCCAGCUUGACUGCGAGCGUGACGGCGCGAGCAGGUGCGAAAGCAGGUCAUAGUGAUCCGGUGGUUCUGAAUGGAAGGGCCAUCGCUCAACGGAUAAAAGGUACUCCGGGGAUAACAGGCUGAUACCGCCCAAGAGUUCAUAUCGACGGCGGUGUUUGGCACCUCGAUGUCGGCUCAUCACAUCCUGGGGCUGAAGUAGGUCCCAAGGGUAUGGCUGUUCGCCAUUUAAAGUGGUACGCGAGCUGGGUUUAGAACGUCGUGAGACAGUUCGGUCCCUAUCUGCCGUGGGCGCUGGAGAACUGAGGGGGGCUGCUCCUAGUACGAGAGGACCGGAGUGGACGCAUCACUGGUGUUCGGGUUGUCAUGCCAAUGGCACUGCCCGGUAGCUAAAUGCGGAAGAGAUAAGUGCUGAAAGCAUCUAAGCACGAAACUUGCCCCGA
rnacentral:rRNA from 1 species